rnacentral:lncRNA from 1 species
AUCUAAUUUUUAUUAUCUGAUAUUAAAUCUAAAAUUAAAUCUAAAAUCAUGAGGAAUAGAAAAAUACCUCAAGGAUAACUAGAUUAUCCUGUAGAUGAUCGUAGCAAUGCCCGAGGUUCUAAAAUAGCCAUGCAGUCAUAUGGCCUCUACCAGUAUCCACUCAAGUAGGAUCUGGAUCAUCUUCUCCUCACAAAUCUUUACUCAAAAAAUUAGAUCUGGAUCUGAUCCGAAAGAUCUUCAAAAGAUCUUUUGAAGCUGGAGCAGCAGCUUCUCGACAAAUUUCUGCAGUCUUCUAAUCAAAGAGCCACCACACCUUAGACAAGCACC